GCAAUAUGUGUGUGCCUUUUUUUUUGCAGUUCAGAUUUCGCAUCACACUGCCAAAAUCAACCGACCGACCGAGGUAUGAGCCACGGAAAGUGAAAUCGCCGCCGACAGUUGUGGAAGUUUCUGCGUUUCGAACGGAUCUUAGGACACGGGAGCGAAAGUGUUUGCAAAUCGGAUACAAUUCGCAGUUUUGUCGUUGCGCCACCGCAGCAGCAGAGUAAUAAAGUGGUUCAAGUUCAGGCGCUAGGUGCGCGUGGAGAUGGAAAAAGAGAAAAAAGUUCCAGUUCGAAAAGGGGGUCAGAUAAGUGUUGUUUAGUGCAAAUGGCGAGUGUGACCUACUUUUUGGUUUUAGUCUUAUCUGUGGUGUGCGCGUGGAACGCCCCCUAGUGAAAGUGCAGCGAUUAUCCCCGAUCAAGAAAUAUGUUUUAGCGCGUUCAAAAGCAUGUAGUUUCCGAAAAUUUUGCGAUCCUUAAGCCGACUCUGUCUUGUACUACCGUGAGUUCUUUGAUGGACGCCAUUUUCGGUCUAUCUUGCGAAGCAACUGAACUUUUUAGAAGUGUAUCAUUUGCUACUGGAACCUGUAUUAGAGUCCAAAUUGGUUACGGAACAUAUUACGGGUUGGAGGGUAUCAGCCUUAACCCUUUUGGAAGGCAUUUCCCUUCGGAUUAUGUCCGUCCAAAACUUCACUUCGCGCGAUUCUCAUUCACACCAACACCAGUGAGAAGCCAUCUUCUUGAUGGUGGCGAAAUCAAGUGCGUAACAUAAUUUCGCGGCUGAACUUGGCCCGAAAAGAAGCCAAUCAACUCUCGAACCGAUGCCAACGGACGGAAGAGGCAGUUUGCAAAAUAAGAGAAAAAAAGUUUGCGAAUUAUUCCAAAGAAAAGCAAAGAAAGACAGACGCGGUGGUCCACGAUUACGUGAUAUAAUCUGACGUUUUGGGUGAACCGGAAUCCAAGAUUAAAUGAUUGGGUACGAUUUGAGCCCGCUUCUGCAACGCCUUCUCCAACGGAAAUCCGACCGACUACUCAACGCCCGCUAGGACAAAAGCCAAAUUCCGCAGCAGAACGAUUCCGUCUGCUAUGAACUGCGCGUACGGUACUAUGAACUUUGCUACUACUAGCAACUGGUGGACUCCAUCCUGCCUGCCUAGCGCUCUAGUCUAGUUUGAGUGUGAAAACCGCCUCCACCCCAUCGUUCGGCUAGCUACCGCUUCUUCCUCCCCUUCCCUGCUGGCGCGUCACGAAUGGCGAUGAUGAUGAACACUAUACGCAGCACAUGCUCGAGUGGUGGAGAAGCAGGAGGAGGAGGAUGAGCUGGGAGGAGGGGAUUGAAGAAUGUACCUUGUAUGUAGUAAAAGUGAGAAAAAAGCCGCGCUUACACGCCAACCAAUCAACGCUAGCCGAUGCUGAUUCUUGCGAUCUUGCGUUCCGAGGGGGAGGUUUUCGCAAGGAAGGAGGCAAGAGAAGAAGGACGAAGCAGAUCGUGUGGACGUCUUCUUUGUCUCGAUACGGUCAGGACCUCUUGGCGUGCUGUGCUGAUAUUUCUCACAGGUGAGAAAAGAUUUGAGAUCCCGUGUGGCCUGCGCUGCACUUGAUGCAGUUGCUAUCAGCGGCACCGAAAGUGGGCUAAUCUGGGUGAGGUUAUGUUUUGCUUCUGGGGGGAUGUUUACCUAUUUGGAGUAACGAUUGAGGCUUGUAAAUAAACAAGCGGCCAGUAGACGGGCGAUAUUAUUUGAAAAUGUCAGAGUAUUCGAAGAUGAUUUUUUCGACCAUGUGUUACAUUUAUAGGAUUGACAGAAUAACUAUAUUUUUCCCCAAAAAUAUUAAGAUUGAGAACGUAUUUGUUUAACUUAAUUUGUUGUCAAAUUCUUUACUCUUUAUGUAGUGAAUUAUUCUCAAUUAUGGAUACCUAGUCUUCGCUGGUUAAAAAACAGCCCCAAAACGCUUUCUGUCAACAAUGGACAAUUAUCUUAGGGAGAAGACAAGACAAGAAGACAAAAAAAAACAUGACAUGUCUCUAUAAAAAAAUUUCGUAAAGUAAUUAAGAGCUAGUUAAAAUAACUGUUCUUCUUGAAAUAAUAGUUAACUUAUAAUAACAGUUGCAAAAAUUUUUUCAAAAUUUUCAAAAGUUACCAAAGAGUUAUUAAAAGAUAAAUUCUUAACAGAUCAUUAGAAAAUCAUCGGAGAGUGGACACGAAUCAAGCAAAACAAUGAAGCAAAAAAUGGGAACAAAAUUUAUUAGAGUCAUUAUGUUAGGUUGCGAAAGAUGUACAAUAAAAGAUGAAGUAAAGCUCUCAAAUCCUGUUCAUGAUUAGUAGGAAAUAACUAUUAAAGUGUCUUAAAAACUCAUCAAUAAGGAUUAAAAAAGACAAGAAAAUAACUAAAACAGGAAGGAAUUAAAGGCAGCCUCAGGGUUCAGCCAAUUGGUUUCCGGUCUUCCACCACGUUUUUUGGUGUAAUGUUACGAACUUAGGCCACAAAAAUGAUG